CCACGCGGUAAACCGAUGAAUACUAAGGUGUCCGGGUUCAAUUAGGGAUUCGUUGCCGCAGCAACGCCAAUAAGUAUUCCACCUGGGGAGUACGUUCGCAAGGAAUGAAACUCAAAGGGAUUUGACCGGGGACCCGCACAAGCGGUGGAGCAUGUGGUUUAAUUCGAAGCAACGCGAAGAACCUUUACCAAAUCUUGACAUCUGGGUGACCGGUCCUUAACCGGACCUUUCCUUCGGGACACCCAAGACAGGUGGUGCAUGGUUGUCGUCAGCUCGUGUCGUGAGAUGUUGGGUUAAGUCCCGCAACGAGCGCAACCCCUAUUACUAGUAGCCAGCGGUUCGGCCGGGCACUCUAGUGAGACUGCCGGGGAUAACCCGGAGGAAGGUGGGGAUGACGUCAAAUCAUCAUGCCCCUUACGAUUUGGGCUACACACGUGCUACAAUGGCGUAAACAAAGGGAAGCGACCCCGCGAGGGUGAGCAAAUCUCAAAAAUAACGUCUCAGUUCGGAUUGUAGUCUGCAACUCGACUACAUGAAGCUGGAAUCGCUAGUAAUCGCAGAUCAGAAUGCUGCGGUGAAUACGUUCCCGGGUCUUGUACACACCGCCCGUCACACCAUGGGAGUCGGUAAUGCCCGAAGUCAGUGACCUAACCGCAAGGAAGGAGCUGCCGAAGGCAGGAUCGAUGACUGGGGUGAAGUCGUAACAAGGUAGCCGUA
rnacentral:rRNA from 1 species